CGGGGCGGGGCGCGGAGCGGAGCACACCCGCCCCCGUUGCUGCCCGCGGAAUGGAUGGAAAGGAGAUUCAGAUGUACCAAUGUUACAUUUUCAGGAGGAGAUCAAUUUUUUAAAGGUAAAAUUUUGUCUGCAUGUCUUGCAUAUGAAGAAACAGAAGCAAAAGCUAUACAUGGAAAAGAAUACUUCUCCAGACUUGACUCAAAUCUUCCUAAAGAAAGUUCUUUUCCCAAUUUUAAUUCUUUAGUAAUAUCCAUUGCUUUUCUAGUAUAAUCAAUAACAUUUCUGGA